rnacentral:tRNA from 4 species
GGGGGCUUAGCUCAGAUGGGAGAGCGCCUGCUUUGCACGCAGGAGGUCAGCGGUUCGAUUCCGCUAGUCUCCACCA